AUGCUGGUAAACCUACAAGAAUUGUUGGAUCUAAGUGAUAAUUCAUUUGCUAGUGUCAUUCCGAGUCAGCUGAGUGGUUUGAGCAUGCUCGAAGUUUUGAAUCUUUCACACAAUGCAUUGAAAGGUAGCAUCCCACCAUCAUUUCAGCGCAUGUUCAGCCUCCUAUCCAUUGAUGUGUCAUUCAACAAAUUGGAAGGGUCAGUGCCACAGAGUAGGUUGUUUGAAGAAGCUCCAAUCGAAUGGUUCAUGCAGAAUAAGCAAUUGUGUGGUGUAGUGAGAGGUUUGCCCCCUUGUGACCUUACUGAAAGUGGUGGACGAAAAAAGAAGCCCAGAGCUAUUUUACUAGCUAUAAUACCUGUUGUUGUAUCUUUUCUGUUUAUCACGGCACUAUUAACUUUGCAAUGUAAACGGAGGAAACCCAAGGUGGAAUGCGCAAAUGAGUUGCAACAGACAAAGCUGUUCGCCAUCUGGAACUUUCAUGGAGGAGAUAUGUACAGGCAAAUUGUUGACACCACAGAAAAUUUUAGUGACGCUCACUGCAUUGGAUUUGGAAGUAGUGGAUCAGUAUAUAGAGCUCAGUUACCAACAUGCAAGAUAUUUGCAGUAAAGAAGAUUCAUACAAUAGAAGAGGAUGAGCUAUUUAAUCGUGAAAUAGAUGCCUUGAUGCAUAUUCGGCAUCGCAAUAUUGUGAAGUUAUUUGGCUACUGUUCUGCUACUCAAGGAAGAUUUCUUUUGUAUGAAUACAUGGAAAGAGGAAGCUUAGCAGCAUCUUUAAGGACCAAGGAAACUGCAAUAGAGUUGGACUGGACAAGGAGGUUAAAUAUUGUUCAGGAUGUGGCCCAUGCUUUGUCUUACAUGCAUCAUGAUUGCUUUGCGCCGAUAGUCCAUAGAGAUAUAACAAGUAACAACAUUUUGCUUGAUCUGGAAUUUAGAGCAUGCAUCUCUGAUUUUGGUAUUGCCAAAAUAUUAGAUGUGGAUGGGUCAAACUGCACAAGGCUUGCCGGGACAAAAGGAUAUCUUGCACCAGAGCUUGCAUACACAACAAGGGUGACGGAGAAGUGCGACAUCUAUAGUUUUGGAGUGCUUGUGCUCGAGUUGUUCAUGGGACAUCAUCCGGGUGAUUUUCUUUCGUCCCUCUCGUCCAUGGACAAGAAAAGUACAAUACCCAAGUAUUUGCUGGACACCCGGCUCCCAUUGCCUAAAGCUGAGAUUGCAAAUGAAAUAUUCAAAGUGAUUUCCAUCGCUGUUCGGUGCAUAGAACCUGACCCAUUACACCGUCCAACGAUGCAGGAUGCAAUCAAGGUGUUCUCUGCAGAUGAAGGACCCAGUAAUCUUGAUUACCUGCACACUGAAAUCGUCAUCCCUGCUUGUGGUUUUGAAUGUUCUUAG
rnacentral:rRNA from 1 species